rnacentral:rRNA from 1 species
GUCCACGGCCAUACCACCCUGAACACGCCCAAACUCGUCAGCUAAGCAGGGUCAGGCCUGGUUAGUACUUGGAUGGGAGAGAGACAGAGAAACACCUGCAGCCCUGCUUU